rnacentral:rRNA from 1 species
CCUACGGGAGGCAGCAGUGAGGAAUAUUGGUCAAUGGACGCAAGUCUGAACCAGCCAAGUAGCGUGCAGGAUGACGGCCCUCCGGGUUGUAAACUGCUUUUAGUUGGGAAUAAAAGGGGGCUCGUGAGCCCCGUAUUGUAUGUACCAUCAGAAAACGGACCGGCUAAUUCCGUGCCAGCAGCCGCGGUAAUACGGGAGGUCCGGGCGUUAUCCGGUUUUAUUGGGUUUAAAGGGAGCGUAGGCCGGCUUUUAAGUCAGCUGUGAAAGUCCGCAGCUUAAACGUGGAAGUGCAGUUGAAACUGGAUGUCUUGAGUGCACACAGGGAAGGCGGAAUGCAUGGUGUAGCGGUGAAAUGCUUAGAUAUCAUGAAGAACUCCGAUCGCGAAGGCAAGUGUCCGGGGUGCAACUGACGCUGAGGCUCGAAAGUGCGGGUAUCAAACAGGAUUAGAUACCCUUGUAGUC